AAAAAAUAAUAACAUAGGCUUCUUGGACAAAGAAGACAAGACUGAAAAGUUACAGGAUCAUCCAUUGGUCAAAGUACACCUGCCUGGUUUGCUGGUAUACAAACUUUCAGACUCGGUGGUUAGAGAGUCCUCCUUCUUACCUGGCCACCGGGAAGGCUGGUAAGGAACAUGUCCUCACCACUUUGGAGUUUGAUUAUUCUAUUGGCAUUUGCUAAAUUAGAUGGUGAAGCUGGUGGACUUAAGCAGCAGCUACGAAAAAGAAGUAUUGAUAACCUCCAACAGUAAGUAAACAGGGGUAAUUUUUGUUGAUGGAAUAGGGAAGUUCCUUACCACUUUUCACAAGCAGCCAGAUGAGCAAUAGUGUAAUUUUGCUUGAGGAAAACAGUGAUGGCAAAAAGCCAACAGGGAAAAUUAUUUGGACCGAUACAUGGAAUUACUUUCUUAUGUAUAAAUUAUUUAUUUUUCCAUAAGCUUGCUAUAUGGUUACUAGGAGGUAUCUCCGGGAAAUUUACAGAGAAAGAAGUGGCAGAUGACUAGAUGUAUACCGUCUGUAAUUACUCAGUGAGAAAUUAUUUAGAUUUAAAAAUUAUAUGUGCUAAUUACUGAUACAGUCUCUGGUUGUCUUACAUAGGCCUCGCAUAGCCUCAGAGAGGGGAAAUUUAGUGUUUCUUACAUCAUCUGCCCAAAACAUUGAAUUUAGAACUGGACCCCUGGGAAAAAUUAAAUUAAAUGAUGAAGACCUCAGCGAAUGUUUGCAUCAGGUAAUAAAUGUACUG
rnacentral:lncRNA from 1 species